GUUUUGUUUUAUCAAAAAAAAAAAAGUGUGAAAUACAGAGUAACUGAGAUCUUCUUCAACCUAUCUUCUUCAACCUAAUUUCAGUUUUCUGGCGGAAAAACUUUGAUACAAUCAGCAAGUUUGCUUGGGAAACGUGAAUAUUAGAUUGAAAUCUCGUUUCCCAUUCGUUUCUGGGAUGAAUUCAGUUUCAAACACGUCUCCAUUUUUCUGAAACGGUUCCGAAACGCGUUUCCCGGUUUCCCCGUUCCAGGACGUUUCGGAAACGGUACUCCGUACAUCAUAGUCUACCACUCACACAGUCCCUCUUCUCCGCUCUCCACUCUGCCCCGGGUGAAUGAGGUGAAUGGUUACCAGAAUUAUGAUGCAGGCAAUGUGUAGAAGAACUAAGUGUACUAUCUUCAAUUCAUUCCAUUUCCAAUCCAUUCCACGGAUUUCUUACGAUGUGAACAAUUUAUCUCAAUAUUCAUCAAAUUUUCAUACUUUUCUGCAAUACCCAUCAAAGAACGUAUAUUAUUAUAAGCCAUUGGAAUCUAGUAUCUUCUGGGUUUCCGAGGGUGUUACCAGAUGGUUGAGUGUUAGGCACUUGAGCAAUGCAUCUGUUGGGGUAAAAGAUGAUAAUGGUGUUGUUAGGUUUUCUUUCGGUGAAAAGGGUGAUACAAGAGUUUCCCCUGGAGAAGGAAAAAGGAUAAUGGUGAAAAAGAAGAAGUCAAAAAAGGCCAAGGUGAAUGAAUUGAGGUUUUACCGCCUUAUGGCGAAGAAGAAGAUGAAUUCUUCGAAUCCUGAAGUUAGGAUUAGAUAUAAACUGGAAAAGGCAAAGCGAAAGGAAGCUUGGCUGAUUGAGAAACUGAGAAAAUUUGUGUUACCUAAGGCUCCAGCUGAAACAUAUGAUCCUGAAAGUUUAACUGAGGAAGAGAAAUUUUAUCUGAAACGCACUGGUGAGAAGAAAAAGAAUUAUGUUCCUGUUGGGAGACGUGGAGUCUUUGGAGGAGUUGUGCUCAAUAUGCAUCUGCAUUGGAAAAAGCAUGAAACAGUCAAGGUUGUUUGCAAACCUUGUAAGCCUGGGCAGGUUCAUGAAAUUGCGGAAGAGAUUACCAGGCUCAGCAAAGGUAUUGCUAUUGAUAUAAAGCCUGACAACACUAUAAUAUUUUACCGUGGGAAGAAUUAUGUGCAACCAGAAGUAAUGUCUCCUCCUGAUACACUGUCAAAGGCAAAGGCCUUAGAGAAGUAUCAGCAUGAACAGUCUCUUGAGCAUACAAGUCAAUUCAUCGAAAAGUUGGAGAAGGAGCUCGAAGAGUAUCAUGAGCAUGUAGAUCGGUAUGGGAGAGGGAAAAAUAAUGCACCAAAAGAUUCUACUGCACUUGAUUAAUGGUAAUUUUUAUUUUGUAUGUGAUUAUAGUCUUUUACCUUGACUGACACUGUUAUUACCUGUUUGCUUACUGUAUCUUGGUUGUGAGGAGAUUUAACUAGAAAUUACUUUUCAACUCUAUAGUCUGUACAAACUAUGUCUUUUGAUACUUGAGACUUGAGAGGCAUAAAGGGUGUAUGAGAAAAAAAAGCAACAGUUAGAAGAAAUUGGAUCAUUUCACAUUUCAUAUUUGGUUACUUGGGAGGCAAGAUAGGUUGCUAAACUUAAUUCUUCUGAAUGGUACUAGCACAUAAAAUUGAAAGUUACUGGGUGCUCUCCAAUCUUACUGAAGACCUUAGUUUGGUCUCAUAUAUUGUCGUUUCGGAUCUGAACUUCUACAACUUUUUUGGUGAUGUCAUAUGGGAUGCUGGUGUUCUCCCUACUAGUCUAUAAUGUACUCCUGGUUACUGGAAAGACUGAACGGAUUUGGGAAAACUGAAACCUCGUAGCUUGAACGUAUUAGCGUAUAACAAUUGUUUGUUACUCAUGCUCUCCAACCAGUCUUUUAGGUGUAGAACUUGGAAUUUGUCAGAUACGGAGUAGUCGUUAUGGUUCCAAAUCAGUAGAGAUACUUUAAUUAGUCUGGCAUGUUGAGUUCUGAUUUAUGGGUUCCUAGUGGCAGAAUUUGUUGGGGGAAUCCUUCAUGUUUAACCUGGGCUCCCUGGUUCUAUAAUUGAACUUUGAUAAUUGUUUCCAGUUUUACUUUUUUGAUCACGGCAUUUUUAUGUUGAUUCUUGGGUCUAAAAUGUUACUGAAGGUUGAGCUCUUGUAGGUUGACCUGUCUGUUGUAAACUUGUAAAAGGUGAAACUGUGCUAUGAACUAAGACAAUUCUUAGCUAAUCUCUCUUGAACUAGAUCAGUAGAACAUAAUGAAGAAUCGAUGAAGAAUUUAAUGGAAAAUUACUAAGAUAUGAUUGUAUUGAUGACAAACACAGAUUACAACCUACCGAACAUUCGUGAGCUUUGCCUUCUCCCGAGUAACAAUUUUUAUCUUUAACAUGAUAAUCCCUUCCUAAUGUUCUCCUAUUUAUGUAUUGCUAAUCUAACUCACUUAUUUUUCUCUUCAAGAUAUUAUUAACUGAAUUAUAUUGUACUACCUAAUAUUCCCCUCCCCCUGUUUGCCAGUUGAUUCAGCAAACUGCUCAGCUUAACAUAAAAGGCCUAAUCUUGUUUAUAAAUCUGGAAAUGAACUGAGAUAGACGUAAGAGCUUUUUUUAAGAUGAUGUAGAUAAUACACUACAUAUUCCUCAAUGACAUGCCCAGUGCUAUUAGUCUCACUUAUCCUAAGAGGUACUGUUAGGUCAUUUCUUAGGCAUAUCCUUCACAUGAAAAUGGUAAACUAUUUGUGCCUAUUACGUUAAAUGGAAUCUUCUUUUGAGUUCCUGAAUUUAUUGGUCCAUUGUAUCUACGAAAUAUAUGUUUUACCAAUUACUUCUUUACUUUACAAUGUCAAAGUCAGACCUAUUACAGAAAGAAGAAGUUACAGAGUGGCAUUACUGAAAUGCAAGAAUGAGAAAUAGAUAGUGUUAUAUGCUAGACAGCUCGAUCAAUAAAAGUUAGGGUGAGCCUUCCCCACGAAGGUUCAGUUUUUCCCUCAAUCUAUAUUUGAAGCUGUUUUUUUUAUUCCAUUUUAGUUCCAAUAUGUUUUGUACUCCCUCUGUCCCUUAAUACUCGCACCGUUUUGACUUUUUACACUAUUCACAUAAUUCACUUUGACCCUAUUUUAUUUCUAGUAUAUGAAAACAAAUGUUACUAUAUAAUAUAUUGUUGACUUCAUCUUAAUAUAUAUUUUCAAAAUAUUAAUAUUUUUAUAAAUUUUUAUAAUAUGUAGUUAAAGAUAUUGGUGGUCAAAGAUGUGCAUUGGCAAGCGUGUCCAGUCGAAACGGUGCGAGUAUUAAGGGACGGAGGGAGUACAAUUUAUCUGCAAUAGGUAGUGACUGAUAUUAUCUAGAAGACAAAUUAGGUAGAUGUAGUAGAAUGGUUAUAAAUACUGGCACAUUAGGUUAUGGGAGGUAGGUUGAGUAUUUGGUAAAGCUUAGGCUUUAUACUUGGAGAUUGGAGGCCUCAAGUCAUUACCUUUUGUAUCCCAUUUUGUGUUCAUCAUCUUUCAAACAAAUUAAUAUAUUUUCUUUACAUUGUGCAGGAGUAUAAGUCUUGAUAUGAAAAUCUAGUAACUGGAUAAUAUAAAGAAAUUGGUUGUUUUUGGGUUUAACCUUUUGGUAUAUUAUGUGGUGAAAACUCUUGUUUAACAUGGUUGAAACUGCGGUGCAUCAAUUCAGCGCUGCAGCUAGAAGAUGCUCUGAUGUAUGCAAAACCUGUCGAAAUGCCAAGCAUACCCUUACUUCUCUUCGCUAAAUCUCUCCUCCCCAAAACACUGACAAAAACAAAACAAAAAAAGUAAAAAAAAAGAGGAAAAGGUUGCAGGUUAAGGGAAUCAUACUGAGUUUCUGCAUGGUUUGUGUUGUAUCUCUUGCUACCAAGCAUGUUUCUAUUUGUUUUAAUUUUUUUACUGUUUUUUUAAUUUCAACUGAUACUCACAUCUGUUGGUUGUAAUAGGCGAAUAAGGUGAUAAUGUAAAGGAGUUCAUAAAAACAUUUGCUUGCGAGUGGAGAAUCUGAAGAUGCAACAACUGCAUUCACCAGUAUAUAUUUCCACAACUAGUCAUCUGCUUAAAGACAUUGUAUCAUUUAUCAAAUGAGAGAUUUGUGUUGGGUGGAGGGAGGAAAUUGAUCGUUCGAGAGACCAGUGUAAGGCUGAAGAUGCAUCUACAGGUUCACACCAAAAAAAACAGACAGGAACAUGUAACGAACUUUUGGUGCAAGAUAUGGGCCCCAUUUUGAACUUUUUGGCCCGGACCAGCACGAUGCAGGGUGGGCUUGGUGCGGCCCGUGGGCUCGACCCGAAGCCAUGUUUAUACAGGUGGAACCAAGUUAACGUGGAAAUGCAUUCAGUGCCUAUACAAUUGGGAAAAACCGAAAAUGGAUUUAUCAUUGCGUUAGGCUAGAUUAUGUGAUCGGGUACAAGUACAACUCAUGUUAAGCGAAUAGUAUGUUGAAGAGCUUUCCUGGGUUCUACAUUGAUGAUAUCGCUAGAGAGUUGGAGUCCUUAGUUAUGCUCACAGAGGUCAAGUUAAGUUUUCACAUUAGAUUAUGCUUUAGUAUGAUGCUGUUCUUGUAAAAUUAUACAUUACAGAGUAACAUACCAUUAAUGUAAUUUAUUAUGACUAUGAAACAGUAAAUAGUUGGUUGUUUCACAUGUGAAAAGGGGAGGAUGCUUGAGUCUCAGACAA